CCUACGGGUGACAGCAGUGAGGAAUAUUGGUCAAUGGCCGCAGGGCUGAACCAGCCAAGUCGCGUGAGGGAUGACGGUCCUAUGGAUUGUAAACCUCUUUUGUCAGGGAGCAAAGGGCGCCACGUGUGGCGCUUUGCGAGUACCUGAAGAAAAAGCAUCGGCUAACUCCGUGCCAGCAGCCGCGGUAAUACGGAGGAUGCGAGCGUUAUCCGGAUUUAUUGGGUUUAAAGGGUGCGCAGGCGGAAUGUCAAGUCAGCGGUAAAAUUUCGGGGCUCAACCCCGUCGUGCCGUUGAAACUGGCGUUCUUGAGUGAGCGAGAAGUAUGCGGAAUGCGUGGUGUAGCGGUGAAAUGCAUAGAUAUCACGCAGAACUCCGAUUGCGAAGGCAGCAUACCGGUGCACAACUGACGCUCAGGCACGAAAGCGUGGGUAUCGAACAGGAUUAGAUACCCCUGUAGUC
rnacentral:rRNA from 1 species